rnacentral:rRNA from 1 species
UACGUAGGGUGCGAGCGUUGUCCGGAAUGAUUGGGCGUAAAGCGUCCGCAGGUGGCAGUUCAAGUCUGCUGUCAAAGACCGGGGCUUAACUUCGGAAAGGCAGUGGAAACUGAACAGCUAGAGUAUGGUAGGGGCAGAGGGAAUUCCUGGUGUAGCGGUGAAAUGCGUAGAUAUCAGGAAGAACAUCGGUGGCGAAGGCGCUCUGCUGGACCAUAACUGACACUCAGGGACGAAAGCUAGGGGAGCGAAUGGG